rnacentral:rRNA from 1 species
AGAACGAACGCUGGCGGCAUGCCUAACACAUGCAAGUCGAACGAUCUCUUCGGAGAUAGUGGCGCACGGGUGCGUAACGCGUGGGAAUCUGCCCUUGGGUUCGGAAUAACAGUUGGAAACGACUGCUAAUACCGGAUGAUGACGUUAAGUCCAAAGAUUUAUCGCCCAGGGAUGAGCCCGCGUAGGAUUAGCUAGUUGGUGAGGUAAAGGCUCACCAAGGCGACGAUCCUUAGCUGGUCUGAGAGGAUGAUCAGCCACACUGGGACUGAGACACGGCCCAGACUCCGUACGGGAGCAGCGAGUGGGGAAUAGUUGGACAAGUGGGACGAAAGCCUAGAUCCAGCAAUGCCGCGUGAGUGAGUGAAGGCGUUAGGGUUAGGUAAGUACGUUCGUUUACCGGUAGUGUAUAAUAGACGA